ACCCAACUCCUAAGCAAUUUGAAACUCAUAUGCAACUCUCCCCCAAAAAAAAAUCCUUAAAAAUUACUGCUAACACCUCAGGCACAUCGCUUCCUUAUUGCAAUCUAAAACCAAUCUAUCUUUUGUAGAUAAUGAUAAUUCAUUUUGGCACAUUGGAUAUCAAAAGAAAAUUUUUAUUGAUUUUUUAAAUUGACAAUUAGGAUAUUGAAAUAUAUUAUUGCUAGUGAUGACAUAGAUCAUAGUCCCUGCAUAAGGCUUUAUGCCUUUCCAUGCAAAGGUAAAUAAGUAGUGGUGUUGUACGGCUUUAAAAACAAAAAACAAAAGCAGUG
rnacentral:lncRNA from 1 species